rnacentral:rRNA from 1 species
UACGAAGGGGGCUAGCGUUGCUCGGAAUCACUGGGCGUAAAGGGCUUGUAGGUGGCCAACUAAGUCAGACGUGAAAUCCCUCGGCUUAACCGGGGAACUGCGUCUGAUACUGGAUGGCUAGAGAUUGGGAGAGGGAUGCGGAAUUCCAGGUGUAGCGGUGAAAUGCGUAGAUAUCUGGAGGAACACCGGUGGCGAAGGCGGCAUCCUGGACCAACACUGACACUGAAAAGCGAAAGCCAGGGGAGCAAACGGG